UGCUCCGCUCCAUCGCAUGGUGGGGUGGGAAAUGCUUUUGCGGCAUGGGAUGGGGUCGCGUCCUAUCAGCUUGUUGGCGGGGUGAUGGCCCACCAAGGCGUUGACGGGUAGCCGGCCUGAGAGGGUGACCGGCCACAUUGGGACUGAGAUACGGCCCAGACUCCUACGGGAGGCAGCAGUGGGGAAUAUUGCACAAUGGGCGCAAGCCUGAUGCAGCGACGCCGCGUGCGGGAUGGAGGCCUUCGGGUUGUAAACCGCUUUUGUUCAAGGGCAAGGCACGGUUUCGGCCGUGUUGAGUGGAUUGUUCGAAUAAGCACCGGCUAACUACGUGCCAGCAGCCGCGGUAAUACGUAGGGUGCGAGCGUUAUCCGGAUUUAUUGGGCGUAAAGGGCUCGUAGGCGGUUCGUCGCGUCCGGUGUGAAGGUCCAUCGCCUAACGGUGGGUCUGCGCCGGGUACGGGCGGGCUGGAGUGCGGUAGGGGAGACUGGAAUUCCCGGUGUAACGGUGGAAUGUGUAGAUAUCGGGAAGAACACCAAUGGCGAAGGCAGGUCUCUGGGCAGUAACUGACGCUGAGGAGCGAAAGCGUGGGUAGCGAACAGGAUUAGAUACCCUGGUAGUCCAUGCCGUAAACGGUGGGCGCUAGGUGUGAGUCCCUUCCACGGGGUUCGUGCCGUAGCUAACGCAUUAAGCGCCCCGCCUGGGGAGUACGGCCGCAAGGCUAAAACUCAAAGGAAUUGACGGGGGCCCGCACAAGCGGCGGAGCAUGUGGAUUAAUUCGAUGCAACGCGAAGAACCUUACCUGGGCUUGACAUACACCAGAUCGUCGUAGAGAUACGGUUUCCCUUUGUGGUUGGUGUACAGGUGGUGCAUGGUUGUCGUCAGCUCGUGUCGUGAGAUGUUGGGUUAAGUCCCGCAACGAGCGCAACCCUUGUCUUAUGUUGCCAGCAAUUCGGUUGGGGACUCGUGAGAGACUGCCGGGGUUAACUCGGAGGAAGGUGGGGAUGACGUCAAAUCAUCAUGCCCCUUAUGUCCAGGGCUUCACACAUGCUACAAUGGUCGGUACAACGCGUUUGCGAGCCUGUGAGGGUGAGCUAAUCGCUGAAAGCCGGUCGUAGUUCGGAUUGGGGUCUGCAACUCGACCCCAUGAAGUCGGAGUCGCUAGUAAUCGCAGAUCAGCAACGC
rnacentral:rRNA from 1 species